rnacentral:lncRNA from 1 species
CCUCUGGAGUGAUUUAUAAAUUAAAAUAAUUGCUCCUUUGAACUGUUCAGAUAUUAAUUGACCUAUCACUAAUGUAAGUACAGUCUCCAAACCAUCCAAACAUUACCUAAACAUAUUUAUCCCCUUUAUUCUAGAAAUCCAAAAAACCACAAAAAUAGACCCUUUGUUCUGGCGCCAAGGGUCAUAAAGGAAAAGCCAUCAUCUUGAUGACUGUGCAGUUCUUCUUCUCGUUCCUCAUCACAGUAACGCUAAGUGGAGCAGCGAGUCGGCUGAACUCAGGCUGGUCCUCCCGCCACCCUCCCCGCUCACGGGCUCCUCGGGUGAGAGAGGGUCCGAGGAGUCGGGGUCCUGCCCUGCCCUGGCGUGCUGCAUUGUAGAAGGAGAGAGCACACUCAGAAACAGCACAAGCACUUGUUUGAACUCAAGGCUGACCCAUUUAUUUAAUGCUCCUUCAAAGGCCAACUAGAAGGCAUCAUUUCUCAGGCAAGAGAAGGUGCUUAACUAUGGCUUAGAGAAAUUGAAAGAGCCAGCGCCUUCUGAUUUGAAGCUGAGGCAGCAGGGCAUCAAGGAGGGUGUGACUCGUCCAAAGGUACGGCUCACUGUGGUGAAGCUGGAACUGGACAUAGCCCCACCACAGCCUCGUGUGUCAUGGGUCACAAGGAAGUCAGCAUAUAUUUUGUUACUGGAAAGAAAACUCACAAGUAAUUGAUGUUUUGGAAUUGGACGUCUUAUUGGUUGGUAACUGAGUUUAUGAUCACAGUAGGACUGUCUGAGAAAACAGGUAGUUUAUUAGGGAUUCUUACUGUGACAGAUAAUAAGAUGGGUGAAAAGGUUUUCUGAGAACAGUCAGUGUCUCUUAUCUGAGAUACAGAAUACUUCCCCCUGGAAUAUGAUUAUUGAAAGCAUGCAAACUAGAUCUGGAGGAAUUUUCCAAAAAGCAUACUGGACUUGGAAUCAAAGAAGACAAAUUUUUAAUAAAUUAAUCUAAGAUUUCUCAAAAACUUGGAACUCCUGAUGUUUUAGGCAGAACAGUUCCUUGUUAUGCGGGGGCUUUCCUAUGGGUUGGAAGGCUAACACCAACUUCCGGCCCCUCCUUACCAGAGACUACCAAAAGUGCACCUGGAUGUUGCCGAGUCAUCUGUAGGAUGAGAGAGCUCAGUGGAGAACCAGUCACGCAGAUAAAUCUGGGGCUUAAGGCUUCAGGGAGAGGUACAUAUUAUUGUUUCCUAUUAUAAACACAAUAAAUAUUAAUAUUUAUAAAAUAUGGAAACAUAUGUUACUCAAAUAAUACCAAAUUA